AAUAACAAUCAAUUAAAAAAUAAUUAAAAGAUCAAACAACAUUGAUCAAGCAAGAUGGAGAACGCUCAUCUCAACUUGGCAUUACUAGCAGUAUUUUUGUUCAUGUUAUUGCAUGUCAAUGGGAAGAGCAUCAAGAAUACAAAUGGAUGCACCUCAGAUGAUCAUUGCAGAACUGUUCGAUGCCCAGAAGGUCUCUCUACUCGUUGCUUGGAUGGCCAUUGUCGCUGCGCACAGAGCCAAAAGCACACAGUUGAGCAAUUUAUUGAUGGGAGAAACACAAAACCAGAGUUACAAGCUUGUAAGAAAGAUAGUGAUUGCACUUCCUUUUGUGCUCCCAAAUGCAAAUUUGUAAAUUGCGUUGGCGGUGUAUGCUUUUGUAGUUGCUAAUUAAGCCUAAAAAAUAUUUGAUUAUGUUAUCAAAUAAUGAGAAUUAAAUAAAGGGUGUUUGGUUAUCGGAAUUCAACAAUA